AUGAACGCUGACAGAAUGCUUAACACAUGCAAGUCAACUUGAACUUCGGUUUGGGUGGCGGACGGGUGAGUAACGCGUAAAGAACUUGCCUCACAGCUAGGGACAACAUUUGGAAACGAAUGCUAAUACCUGAUAUUAUGAUUUUAGGGCAUCCUAGAAUUAUGAAAGCUAUAUGCGCUGUGAGAGAGCUUUGCGUCCCAUUAGCUAGUUGGAGAGGUAACGGCUCACCAAGGCGAUGAUGGGUAGCCGGCCUGAGAGGGUGAACGGCCACAAGGGGACUGAGACACGGCCCUUACUCCUACGGGAGGCAGCAGUGGGGAAUAUUGGACAAUGGACCAAGAGUCUGAUCCAGCAAUUCUGUGUGCACGAUGAAGUUUUUCGGAAUGUAAGGUGCUUUCAGUUGGGAAGAAAAAAAUGACGGUACCAACAGAAGAAGUGACGGCUAAAUACGUG
rnacentral:rRNA from 1 species